rnacentral:rRNA from 1 species
ACGAACGCUGGCGGCGUGGAUAAGACAUGCAAGUCGAACGAGAUCAAAUUUGUAGCAAUACAGAAUUGGUCUAGUGGCAAACGAGAGAGUAACGCGUGAGAAUUAACCCAGAAGUCUGGAAUAGCCCACCGAAAGGUGGAUUAAUACCGGAUGUGAAAGCAAUUUUAAAGUAGGGGACCGUAAGGCCUUACGCUUCUGGACAAGCUCGCGUCCUAUCAGCUAGUUGGUGAGGUAAUGGCUCACCAAGGCUAAGACGGGUAGCUGGUUUGAGAGGAACGACCAGCCUCGCUGGAACUGAGACACGGUCCAGACACCUACGGGUGGCAGCAGUCGAGAAUUAUUCGCAAUGGGGGAAACCCUGACGGUGCGACGCCGCGUGGAGGAUGAAGGUUUUCGGAUUGUAAACUCCUGUCACCACAGAAAAAUACUUACAUCUUAAUACUUUGUAAGUUUGAUGGUAUGUGGAGAGGAAGGGACGGCUAACUCUGUGCCAGCAGCCGCAGUAAUACAGAGGUCCCAAGCGUUGUUCGGAAUUACUGGGCGUAAAGGGUGCGUAGGAGGCAUUGUAAGUCAAAUGUGAAAUCUCUCUGCUUAACAGAGAAACUGCAUUCGAUACUGCUUUGCUAGAGGAUCGGAGAGGAGAAUGGAAUUUCUGGUGUAGCGGUGAAAUGCGUAGAUAUCAGAAGGAACACCAAUGGCGAAGGCAAUUCUCUGGAAGAUUCCUGACUCUGAAGCACGAAGGCUAGGGGAGCAAACAGGAUUAGAUACCCUGGUAGUCCUAGCAGUAAACGUUGUUCACUUGGUGUAGGAGGAUUCGACCCCUUCUGUGCCGUAGCUAACGCGAUAAGUGAACCGCCUGGGAAGUACGGUCGCAAGACUAAAACUCAAAGAAAUUGACGGGGACCCGCACAAGCGGUGGAGUAUGUGGCUUAAUUCGAUGCAACGCGAAGAACCUUACCCAGGCUUGACAUGCAAAGUUCAAAUAUGGAAACAUAUUGGAUCGCAAGAUCGAUUUGCACAGGUGCUGCAUGGCUGCCGUCAGCUCGUGUCGUGAGAUGUUGGGUUAAGUCCCGCAACGAGCGCAACCUCUAUGAUUAGUUAUACGCCAGCAAUGGCUCCCUAAUCAGACUGCCCCAUUCAAUGGGGAGGAAGGUGGAGACGACGUCAAGUCAGGAUGGCCCUUACGCCUGGGGCUGCACACGUACUACAAUGCAUAAUACAGAAGGAGCCGAAGCCGCGAGGUAAUAGGAAAUCCCUAAAAUUAUGCCCAGUUCAGAUCGUAGGCUGCAACUCGCCUACGUGAAGUUGGAAUCGCUAGUAAUGGCGCAUCAGCUACGGCGCCGUGAAUACGUUCCCGGGUCUUGUACACACUGCCCGUCACGUCAUGAAAGCCGGUCACACCCAAAGUCGUCUUAAACGCCUAAGGUUUGGCUGGUGAUUGGGAUGAAGUCGUAACAAGGUAAC